UGAUUGGUAAUCAUUUGUUGAUGGGGAUCUAUAUAUAAAAAGCUUACUGGGUAUCCUUGAAAAUGAUGGACGGACCUGGUACAUAAGAAAACCCUACCGUAGAUAAUACCUCAGAGAGAGGAGGCUGAGGGGUUCCAUACCAGAGAGGUUGGAAAAUAUAGUUCACCCUCAUACCGGACGGGGUAUCGAGAUGAUGAUAUGUUUGACGCCCAUUACUAGAUGAGAUAUGGGGACGGUCGGGUAAAUUUACAAAUCUAGAUAUUGGGUUCACGAGUAAGGGGAUAUCCCCAUUGAUCCCCAAGAG
rnacentral:lncRNA from 1 species